CGGGUCUGGCUUCUCUCCCACUCAUAUCCUUGAAUCCAAGAAAUUGUGAAGAUUAUCAAGCUAAGGAAAUCUUCAAUUUGGGCCAAAUAUACAGAUCAAGCCUAAUUGCAUAUUUACCUGUUGUAAACCUGAUGCUGGGAGGAUUACAUCCUGAUAAAACUCUGCGUUGCUUACAACUCCAACUACUACUGCGAGUAUAGAUUUUAAAUUUUGAUGGGAAUUUGAAAAAGGGUGAAUCAUUUGGAAAGAUGCUUGGAGGCAAUUUGACAUUGGGCAAGUUAACAAAACAUCUAUGCUUUUCAUUGUAUCAGAGGAAUUACAGUUGGUUCAUGGAAGGAAUUCCUUAAUUUGGUUUUUCUUGUGAAUUGAAAAUUCACUGCUAUAGUCCUUUUAACUUUGCCGAACCAAGUAACCUAACUACUUUUUUAAGUUUUUUAAGUGAC
rnacentral:lncRNA from 1 species